UACGAAGGGGGCUAGCGUUGCUCGGAAUCACUGGGCGUAAAGCGCACGUAGGCGGAUUGCUAAGUCAGGGGUGAAAUCCUGGAGCUCAACUCCAGAACUGCCUUUGAUACUGGCGACCUUGAGUCCGGGAGAGGUGAGUGGAACUGCGAGUGUAGAGGUGAAAUUCGUAGAUAUUCGCAAGAACACCAGUGGCGAAGGCGGCUCUCUGGACUGUAACUGACGCUGAGGCUCGAAAGCGUGGGGAGCAAACAGG
rnacentral:rRNA from 1 species